GCGGCCGGGAAGCGUACCCGUAUCGCCCGCACCGCAGGAGACAUCGCUAACCGCUCGACUAAAGGGUCAGACCCGCCAUUCAGCGGCCAACGUUGGCUGUUUUGCCAUUGUGGGAGGAGCAUCUGUUGAAGCGCGCAUUAGAAGGAUGUUUGCCUGUCCUAUAACCAACGAGCUGGCGUCUCAGAUGAACUGGCCAGGGAAGAAACUGAAAGAUAUGCAUGAACGAAAAACAGUAUUCAGAGACACCGGGCUCAAGAUGUGCAUGUUUGAUGCCCUACAACAAGUGAAAGAGAAAAGGGCG